rnacentral:misc_RNA from 1 species
AACGCACCUUGCGCCCUUUGGUAUUCCGAAGGGCAUGCCUGUUUGAGUGUCAUUAAAUUCUCAACCUUACAGCUUUUUGUUGUUCAAGGCUUGGAUGUGAGGGUUAUUGCUGGCUUCCUUUAGUGGAUCGGUCAGCUCCCUUGAAAUGUAUUAGUGGAAUCCUUUGUGGAUCGUCACUGAGUGUGAUAAUUAUCUAUGCUCCUUGACUCUGAAACAAAAUCUAAUGGAAUCUGCUUCUAACCGUCCUUCAGUUGGACAAUUUAUUGACUAUUUGACCUCAAAUCAGGUAGGACUACCCGCUGAACUUAA